UACAGAGGUCUCAAGCGUUGUUCGGAUUCAUUGGGCGUAAAGGGUCCGUAGGCGGCGCGGUAAGUCGGGUGUGAAAUCUCGGAGCUCAACUCCGAAACUGCCUUCAAUACUGCUGUGCUUGAGGACUGUAGAGGAGAAUGGAAUUCACGGUGUAGCAGUGAAAUGCGUAGAUAUCGUGAGGAAGACCAGUGGCGAAGGCGAUUCUCUGGGCAGUUCCUGACACUGAGGCACGAAGGCUAGGGGAGCAAACGGG
rnacentral:rRNA from 1 species